GCCACUACCCCUUCCCAGACUGGACCUGGGUCUUCCGAUUUAUGGCAUCACCUUGGCGGGCCAUACCGGUCAUGCAGCUGGCAGCACUGUUACCUUUUGCUGCCAUCAACACGGCUCUUUACUCCCGGUAAAAUGACCUUAAUUUAUCAGGCAUUAUGACUAAUACCAGAUGAUUACGGCCAUUAAUAUUAAUGGUUUUCAGUCCCAGGAGGGGACUUGGGUGCUAAUUGGCACUCUUCUCUUUGCUUCUUUUCUCAAUACGGCUGCCGAUUUCCGAUGUUCUGCAUUUCAGCGUCUUAGUUUCAAAGGGAAAUAUCGCGUGAGGCAUUUUCUUAUUUCUGGAUGAUUCUCUCAUUCCAUUCCCUCAUUUCCUUCUGAUCCUGUAAGCAGUCUAGAAACACGCCGGAUGCACUGGGGGCUCCAGGAUACUGACAAAGGGCUGAGGUCACGGCUGAGCGGAAGACGGCUGCGUUGAGCUGCCGGGAGAGGCAGCGCUUUGCCCAGAGGAAGGGAGACAGCAGGGAAUGUGUACAUUUGCCCAGAAACAGAGCCCCGUCUCAGACACCCACGCCUUCCUCUAUCUCUAAUCAAACACUUUCUGGUCUUUUUAUAUAAGGUGGAAUCUAAAUCAACCCCUCCCAACACCCCGUCUCUGGGUUGCCUGAACAAAUGGGGUUGUUUGGGGGCUCAGAUCGGAGAGGACAGAUCACACUCCUCCUCCUUCUGGCUCUUAGGUUUUGGGGGCACUGGGAGCUGAUGUUGCCCGCGCUGAGAGAGAUGUCCUUGUCGUCUUUCCGUUUCCAGUGGAAGAUAGGUUGCAAAUAGCAGCCUGUUGCCAUGGUCACGAUGGCGCUUCCUUCUGGGGGCGGGGCGGAAAAUGGCCUCCCUGGGGGGUCCCUGGGCCGCCUCGCCCACUCGGGUUUGGGCCCCCUCUGCUGGGGCAUUCAUCUCAGAACGCCUUUCUGGAGCUGUAGGCGGGUGAGGUGCCAGAAGGCCCCUGGGCUGGGAUGGAGCGCUGGUAUCCUGACUGAGGCCACAGUCCAGCUCCGGGAAAUGGCAGCCGUGCCAGAAAAUGAGCAUGAAGUACUGCCAAACCUUCCGAUUAUCUAAAUGAGAACUUUGGUUUAUACGGUCACUCUCCCAAUUACUUUUAUUGUUGGCAAAGACGGCACAUCGUAAAAUUUUUUAAGAACGGUGUGGGCCAAACAAAACACGUCCGUGGGCCAGCCAUUUUGUCUGGCCGGCUCGGCAGUCGUUCCGCGACCAGAGCGGAGAAGCGUCACCCAAAAUGGCAGCCGGCGCGCUUUUGGGGUCGCGAGGUCAGCGAAUCCGGGCACACCGCUUUGUGAGGAGACGCGAGGCACUGGCAGGCAGAUUCUGAGCCACUGCUCCACCGGGCGAGUCCCGCCUAAUGGUGUUGAUCCUGGGCUCAUCGAGGGGCGCGUGGCCUGCGUCUGCCCCCGGCUUGCUGAGUGAGUUUGAACUCUCCGCCCUCCCAGGGUCUCCGCGUCUGUACCAUGAUGGGACUGGAUCAUUUCGGAGGGUCUGGCUCCUGCUCACUGACUGCCCCUCCUAUGCUCAUUUACUCUGCGUGACAUGAUGUCCACUCUGUGUGACGCCCAGAAAUUUCCACAGAUUUCAGUCAAGAGACUGCUGCCUCCAUCCAUUCACGUCUUCAUUACCAGUGAGUGACCUGUUGAACAGCCUCUGUGACGAUGGCUGAACUGGGAAUGGGAAUGAAGCCCUGAGGAGGACAGGCAAGAUCCCUGGCCCACAUGAGCUCACCUCCUGCUGGCAGAGGCAGGAAAAAUGGAAGGAUCAUCUGCAUUUCUGCUCAGACACUGGCUGCCGGCUAGACAUCCUUGAGAAGAGAGUCCAGAACAAGGCUCUCAUUGUCUCCUGCUCAGAAGACAGGCAGACAUGGAGUGACCCGUGGAGAAUCGUCUCCUGCAUCAGUCUGUAGGGCUGUUGGGAGAGCAAAGGAGUUCCUGAUGAGCGCUUUUGGGACGCUGUCAUUUUCGGCAUGGGCAUUGACUCUCACAGCUGGGAUCCUGCUAUUGGCAUUCCUUAGGCCUUAUCCUGUCAUCUUGGCCCUUUGGGGAGUCCUGGCGAGCUGAAAAUAAGAGAGGAGCAGUUUGGCAGAUGGAGUUUUAGAGACUUUUAAAACCGCAUGGCACAUCUACUUCCAUGAAAAGCAAGCAAACCCAUUUCCAUGGAGCCAGUCCAAGCCCUGGAGAAAGAGGCAUUCAUGAAGAUUUUACAGGCCAAAUUCCCCUACCUCUUCCCAGCUCCAUCUCCACGGCAGCCCCACACGAUCAUCCAAAGAACAGAAGGAGCGGUUUCUGGUGCUUUCCCAUACAAAGGCCUUAUCUCCUUAGACAUUCCAAAUAAGACAAGAGCUCCCAGAUAAUUCCAUGUUCCAUGAAAAAUAUGCAAUACUGAAUUAAAGGAAAACAUCUCUUCUCCACCUCUGCCACCUUCACCCCUGACUAUGGAUGCUCUGGGGGUGUGUUUGGUUAAUAAAGAAUUCUGUCUCAAAAAAGUAAGAGUCCACGACUAUUCUUAGCUAUUUUAGUUGAUGAACUGGGGAGAGAUUGGGGGAAAGUCAGCAGGUGAAGUUUUCUGGCCUGAUUUAUUGACCUUCCUUCAAAUAACCAGGAAUCGGGAUUCCUCGGUGGCU